AGUGAACGCUGGCGGCGUGCCUAAUACAUGCAAGUCGAACGGAGAUUAAGUAGCUUGCUAUUUAAUCUUAGUGGCGCACGGGUGAGUAAUAUAUAGCUAACUUGCCCAUUACUAAGGGACAACAGUUGGAAACGACUGCUAAUACCUUAUACUCCGUAUCUAUAUAAGUAGAUACGGGAAAGUUUUUCGGUAAUGGAUAGGGCUAUAUCGUAUCAGCUAGUUGGUAAGGUAAUGGCUUACCAAGGCUAUGACGCGUAACCGGUCUGAGAGGAUGAUCAGUCACACUGGAACUGAGACACGGUCCAGACUCCUACGGGAGGCAGCAGUAGGGAAUAUUGCUCAAUGGGGGAAACCCGGAAGCAGCAACGCCGCGUGGAGGAUGACACUUUUCGGAGCGUAAACUCCUUUUCUUGGGAAAGAAUUAUGACGGUACCCAAGGAAUAAGCACCGGCUAACUCCGUG
rnacentral:rRNA from 1 species